rnacentral:rRNA from 1 species
GACGAACGCUGGCGGCGUGCUUAAUACAUGCAAGUCAACUGAAUUUGAGGUAGCAAUAUCUCAAGUAAGGUGGCGCACGGGUGAGUAACACGUAGGUAAUCUGCCUUUAGGACUGACAUAACCUAUCGAAAGGUAGGCUAAAUAUCAGAUGAUGCAGCGGCUCGACAUCGAGACAGUUGUUAAACCUUCGGGCCUGAAGAUGAGCCUGCGUCUGAUUAGGUAGUUGGCGGAGUAAAAGCCCACCAAGCCUGCGAUCAGUAGCUGGUCUGAGAGGAUGAUCAGCCACACUGGAACUGAGACACGGUCCAGACUCC